rnacentral:rRNA from 1 species
GUAGGGAAUAUUGGACAAUGGGCGAAAGCCUGAUCCAGCCAUGCCGCGUGAUAGAUGAAGGCCCUCUGGGUUGUAAAUAUCUUUUAUCUGGGAAGAAACUCCUCUAUUCUUAGAGGCCUGACGGUACCAGAGGAAUAAGCACCGGCUAACUCCGUGCCAGCAGCCGCGGUAAUACGGAGGGUGCAAGCGUUAUCCGGAUUCACUGGGUUUAAAGGGUGCGUAGGCGGGUUGAUAAGUCAGUGGUGAAAGCUGCGGGCUUAACUUGGAAACUGCCAUUGAUACUGUCAAUCUUGAAUGUCGUAGAGGUAAGCGGAAUGUUGCAUGUAGCGGUGAAAUGCUUAGAUAUGUUACAGAACACCAAUUGCGAAGGCAGCUUACUAUGCGAUAAUUGACGCUGAGGCACGAAAGCGUGGGGAGCAAACAGGAUUAGAAACCCCUGUAGUCC